rnacentral:rRNA from 1 species
ACACAUGCAGUCGAGCGGCAGCACGGGUACUUGUACCUGGUGGCGAGCGGCGGACGGGUGAGUAAUGCCUAGGAAUCUGCCUAGUAGUGGGGGAUAACGUCCGGAAACGGGCGCUAAUACCGCAUACGUCCUACGGGAGAAAGUGGGGGAUCUUCGGACCUCACGCUAUUAGAUGAGCCUAGGUCGGAUUAGCUAGUUGGUGAGGUAAUGGCUCACCAAGGCGACGAUCCGUAACUGGUCUGAGAGGAUGAUCAGUCACACUGGAACUGAGACACGGUCCAGACUCCUACGGGAGGCAGCAGUGGGGAAUAUUGGACAAUGGGCGAAAGCCUGAUCCAGCCAUGCCGCGUGUGUGAAGAAGGUCUUCGGAUUGUAAAGCACUUUAAGUUGGGAGGAAGGGCAGUUACCUAAUACGUGAUUGUUUCGACGUUACCGACAGAAUAAGCACCGGCUAACUCUGUGCCAGCAGCCGCGGUAAUACAGAGGGUGCAAGCGUUAAUCGGAAUUACUGGGCGUAAAGCGCGCGUAGGUGGUUUGUUAAGUUGGAUGUGAAAGCCCCGGGCUCAACCUGGGAACUGCAUCCAAAACUGGCAAGCUAGAGUAUGGUAGAGGGUGGUGGAAUUUCCUGUGUAGCGGUGAAAUGCGUAGAUAUAGGAAGGAGCACCAGUGGCGAAAGCGACCACCUGGACUGAUACUGACACUGAUGUGCGAAAGCGUGGGGAGCAAACAGGA